ensembl:lncRNA GSEC G-quadruplex forming sequence containing lncRNA
AGAAAGGGCGGGGUGGAGGAGGGGGAAGGGCGGGGGUGAUGCCGCGCGGUCGCAGGCUUGGGAUGGUGUUCGCGCCUCCGAGACCCGGACAGAGGCAAGCAGGGGCGCCGUGGGUGCCAGAGAGGCGGAAGAGGAGGCCUGAUGGGGAUACCUUCCUGCUGUCCUUCCUGAGCACAACCUGGCUGAAAACCUGGAGGUCACAACAGUACAAAGAAUCAAAGUCAAGAUCUUGUGCCAGAGAGCAAAUGAACUCUUCCUCUUGCUGAGAAAACCCACCCUGCUCACCUAAACCCUGGCCUUGCCUGGUAAUUCCAUCCAUGCGCCUGGAAGGCCCCAGACAUCAAGGCUCUGAGGGGCCAGGCACGGGGAGAACCCAGCAGUGCCCUGCCCUGCAGUCUGAGCUACCAGAUUCCUUGUGAAGAUAAUUUGAGGACCAUGACUCACCCAACCACAUUUCCUGGGGCCUCAAAUUGAAAAUUCAGGAUGGGCUUUUCUAUAUGACUGGCUGAUAUCCAACUAUGCCAUGGUCUUUACAUGCCAUGAACAUUCUUUCCUGCCAGAGUUCUAAGAAUCUGUGUUCUCUGCCUUAGACCUUCUGCAGAUGAGCCCACAGGAAGCUCCACGUGUAGCUGAGCUACAUGCACCAGGCCUCAGUUUGCCCCAAGUCCCCUGUGUACUCUCUCAUGGCCUGUGGCCAAGAAAUGUAUUCUCUCACUUUGGACUUAGGAGUCCAAAGAGAAGCCCAGAAACAAAAUUGCUUGAACUUGAAUUUGUGUGCGUGCGCACGUGUGCACGUGGUGGUGAAGGUGUAUGUUUUCGGCUGUUCUAUGCGUCACUGUCACCAAACUCCCAAAUAAUAGUAACAUUUGUUUAGAUGAUGUCUGCUGACAAAUCACAAACACGACGCUAACUCGCAACUCUCUGCUCCACUGGCACAGAAUAGGGCAUGGAGCCUGGUGCUGGGUGUCAGCCCAUGGUGUUGGGUGUCAGUUCACAGGCUGGGUAAGGGAGGGAAAAUAAUCCAUUCUUUGAUAUUAGACAUGACCCAAAAUUUCCUGCUGGCAGCCAAAGGCCUCCUCGCUCAGAGAAGUCAUCUGAAAAAAGCUAGCCCAGGGGCAGGAAAGGGCCUCAGGCUGGCGCCCCAGAAGGUGGCCCAUCAGUCACUCUGGGAAGACAGAUAGACAUCGUCAGUCUCUUUUUACAAGUCAAGACAGUAAAAUCAAAGUAAUAGUUUCCUGGCAGGAAGAAAGAGAAUUGCUGGAGCGUUGGAGAGCCAUCUCUUAACCUCUGGGGUGACUCAAAGGAAGAGUUGCCUGGUCUGAGAACUUUAGACCAAAGAAUUUAAAUCAUGUGAACUGAAAAUGCAUGUGUAUCCAUAUAUACAUGUACAUAUAUGUUUAUAUACCCAAUAUAGAAAGGUUACCAGAGACAAAGAAAUAGCAACAAUAGUUGUUUUGGGGAAGGGAAAGGAAGGGCUGUGGGGUGAGGAAGCAUACUUUCACUGAAUAUCCUCUGUACUGUGUGCAUUUUUGCCACAUGCAUGAACUAAACCUACAAGAAAAUAAACAAAUAAAAAAAAAGAACACA